GAGCUGCUCAACCACAAUAUUGUUCACUGCUCAACUGCAGAGUUUAAGAGCUGGUGUUCUAUUCUAGGAGUUGACAUUUGUGUCAAUGUGAACUAGAGACUUUAACACCCCCCCUCGAACUUAAGAUGGUUGCAGAACCAACUUGAGUUUGGAAAUGUAAUUGCGAAAAUUGCCAGGAGGUUGAGCUUUUGUGAAGAUAUCUGCAGUAUUAUCUGCACUCGUGACACUAUGUAAAUGAACUGUGCCUUUGGCAACUUGUUGACGAGUGAAAUGACAAUCGAUCUCUAUAUGUUUAGUGCGCUCAUGGAAGACGUCGUUGUGAGCAAUGUCUAUUGCGCUUUUGCUGUCACAGUAAAUAGAAGUGGCCGGAGAAUGAGUUACACUCAUAUCUUCAAGUAACCAUCGUAGCCAGAUUAAUUCCUGUGUGGUGUCAGCAAGAGCUCGAUAUUCAGACUCGGCACUUGAUCGAGAAGCAAGAGAUUGUUUCUUACUGCGCCAAGAAAUAAGAGAGUCGCCAAGAAAGAAACAAAAUCCAGUAGUGGAACAUCUGGUAGUAGGAUCACCGCCCCAAUCAGCAUCCGAGUAAGCAUGUAACUCAAGUGGAGAGUCAAAAGAAUAAUGUAAUCCAUGAAAUAUGGUGCCUUUAACAUAACGAAGUAUGUGAAGGACGGCUGUGAAGUGAGGAGUGCGAGGAGCUGCCAUGAACUGACUUACAAUAUGCACUGCAUGAGCAAUAUCUGGACGAGUGACAGUGAGAUAAAUUAAACUUCCAACCAAUUGGCGAUACAAUGUAGGAUUAGGAAGUAAUUCACCAUCUUUGGCGUUAAGUUUAUCCUCAUAAUCCAGAGGUGUAGAAACAAUCUUAGUGUCACUGAUUCCUGAUUUCAACAAAAGGUCAGAUGCAUACUUCACUUGUGAAAGAGAGUAGCCUGUAGGGACUGAAGUAACCUCAAGACCCAAGAAGUAGCUUAAUGAACCAAGAUCUUUCCUCUCAAAUUGCUGACUAAGAAAUUGUUUAAGUUCAGAAAUUCCCGCGUUGUCAUCUCCAGUAAUGAUCAUGUCAUCGACAUAUAGAAAAAGUAAAACAAUUCCUCGUUUUGAUCGUCGAAUGAAAAGAGCAUGAUCAUAUGGACUUGAAGAAAAGACGAUACAAUGUAGGAUUAGGAAGUAAUUCACCAUCUUUGGCGUUAAGUUUAUCCUCAUAAUCCAGAGGUGUAGAAACAAUCUUAGUGUCACUGAUUCCUGAUUUCAACAAAAGGUCAGAUGCAUACUUCACUUGUGAAAGAGAGUAGCCUGUAGGGACUGAAGUAACCUCAAGACCCAAGAAGUAGCUUAAUGAACCAAGAUCUUUCAUCUCAAAUUGCUGACUAAGAAAUUGUUUAAGUUCAGAAAUUCCCGCGUUGUCAUCUCCAGUAAUGAUCAUGUCAUCGACAUAUAGAAGAAGUAAAACAAUUCCUCGUUUUGAUCGUCGAAUGAAAAGAGCAUGAUCAUAUGGACUUGAAGAAAAUCCCAGUUGUUGAAUUAUUGUGCUGAAUUUCUCGAACCAAGCUCGAGGUGCCUGCUUAAGACCAUAAAGGGCUUUGUUAAGCUUGAACACUUGAUUUGGAGAGUGGGAAAAACCUGGAGGUGGUUUGAGAUAAACUUCCUCAUGUAGGUCUCCAUUAAGAAAAGCAUUCUUGACAUCCAUUUGCCACAUGUUCCAGUGUUUUGAUGCUCCAACAGCUAGUAAACUUCGAACAGAUGUGAGACGAGCAACUGGUGCAAAAGUUUCCUCGUAAUCAAUACCAUACUCUUGUGUAAAACCUCUAGCGACUAGACGAGCUUUGUAUCUGUCAAUAGAGCCAUCAGAUUUGGUUGUAAUUUUGUAGAUCCAUCGACAACUCACUGCAGUUUUAUCAGGUGGCAAAGUUACCAAAUCCCAAGUGUGAGUUUUGUCUAAAGCAUGAAGUUCCUCUUCCAUUGCUUUCUGCCAAAGAGGGUUAACACUCGCCUCUCUAUAUGUUUGAGGCUCAUGUAACGAUUGUAUAGCAGAAUAAACAUGAUAAUCAGUAAGUCGAACAGAAGGUUUUCUUACUCGAGUAGAGCGAACAGGCUCCUCUGAAAGAGAUGGUUGAGUGGAAGGCUCAAUAUUGGAAUCCUCAGACUGAACUUCUGUCAGGGGAACAUUGGUAGUCGGAGAUGGUUGAGUGAGCUCAAUUGAAGGAUCUCCUGAAAAUG
rnacentral:lncRNA from 1 species